rnacentral:pre_miRNA from 1 species
AGUUCAAUUGCUGGGUUGGAUGGUAGUUCAUAUUUCAUUUUUUAAGAAGCUGCCAAACUGUUUUCCAGAGCAGCUGUACCAUUUUACAUUCCUGUUAGCGAU